rnacentral:tRNA from 3 species
GGGCGGUUAGCUCAGCGGGAGAGCAUUCGCUUCACACGCGAAGGGUCACAGGUUCAAUCCCUGUACCGCCCACCA